UGAGUUUCUUUAUUAUUUUAUUUUUAACUCCUUUUAUACAUCUAAGUUUACUUUAGCAUUUUAUUUAUAUUUAUUACCUUUGAUUUCCUACUUCCCUCACUAGCCUGUUGAUUUGCAGUUGCCGGUUUCACUUCACCGUUGGAUGGGGAAGGUCUUCUGGGUAACAAAGAGCCCUUUUGCCCUUCAACCACAGAACGGCACCCAAGAUGAUAAAGAUGUGCACUGGUGGAAUGGCAGGACAGACUGCUGCCUACAGCCUCUUGUUUCAUGUAAUACACCUUGUAAUUUUGGAAAACAUGACCUGUCAACACACCACCACUGUUCCAGCAGAUGAAGGAUGGAAUUCAGCUAGAGAACUCACUCAGCAUCAUCCUGCAAGGACUAUCCCCUAUUGACAGGGCAGCUUCCACAGCUGCUGCACAUCACCCAGACUGGCAUUUCCACCUAACCCCCGAGCAGCCUCACACCUUGGCAGCCAGCUUGGCUUCUUUGCCAUGGUCAAGUUAUGAAGUGGCAGGAAAGCAUCAGGCAGUCGGGACACACCACCCGGCCGUCUGCAGAUAAAGCAGCACCAAGCUACAGACUCCCACCAGAAAGAUGACACUACUGUUGACAGGUUUUAUUCCUUUUCCCUGAAGACUUUUACAUUUUCCAGUUCCUUUCACCCACCUCUAAGAAGGUCACAUUCUUAGGUAUUAAGCACUUAAGUUUGUUGUAAUGGUUGUAAAACAUCAUUCAUUUGAUCAUUUUGUAUUGGGUGGAUGAUGGGUGGGGGCAGGCAAGGUUUAAAGCACAAACAUCAGUUUAACAUGUGAGGCCUGAAAGCAUUUGAAUCUUAUGCCCACGGAUACAGAACAUGUAUUUUGAGAACAUCACUCCAAACCAUCUUGUCCAGUAUCUAGCCACUAGAAAUAAGCACAUCUAGGGCUUAUCUGCAGCGCCAGUAAGAAGUAUCGAAGGCAGACCCACAAAAGCAGAAUACCUGAAAGAACAGAAGUUCUCUUUUUGAACAAGUCCAGUUACAACAACCACUUCUUUGGUCGUGCAAGCCCUUUUCGGGAUAUAGCUGACUCCAAAAGCAGAGCAGCACCAAGUUUUUCUUGCCGUCUGAGUCACCUCUGCUAUGCCAGCAUCAACACCUCUGAUGUUACUCAGGAUGUUCCCUCUAAUUAUCUGGAGAUGUAGAUCUGCAUGAAUAAUUUAUAUAUUGGCUUGGUAGUAGAACCAAAAUAUAUAUUAAAAAUUCAUUCAGUUCAUGCAAAAAAUAGAGUACCAAGGUGUUUUAAGGGAAUACAAAUCAAAAAAAAUAAAUCCCUUUUUAGGUCACUCUCUAGCUUACCU
rnacentral:lncRNA from 1 species